AGCUAGAGCAAGUACAAUGUAUAACGAAUUGUACUGAACUUACGUGAAUAAUAUUAAUCUUGUAUUCUAGUCACCUUAUGAAAGCCGAGAGAUGACAUCUUCUUCAGAAAAAGAUCGGGCGCCCGAUGCCUUGCUGUCGCGGACAUCGGCGGUUCGCAACGCGACCGGGUUCACCGGAUCAUUACGACACCUGAUAACACUUGAUAAAUGAUUGAGAAUCUUCAGGAGUGAAAUAAACUCUUUAUCUAUGGCGUUAUCAUUAUCAUCACGCAGUCGUCGGACAGGAAACAGGUGCCAGGUAAUGAUGUGGUGCUGUGUGACGUAACUGAGGAAUAUUUAUUUCUAUUACGCCACCGACACAAUGACGCGGUUCGUUGACAAUCGGUGACAAGAACAUCUUCGAGCUGAUUAAAAGAAUUAUCAUCAUACCCUCACAGCAGCAGAGCUUCGAGGGCGACCGGUGGCGGCCGCUGGAGCAACGUCGAACGUCCGAGCAUCCCUGCACUGCCCAGGUUUCGCGAGAAGAAAUACCUUGAACUAGAAGAGUGAUUUUAGUAAUUGUUUUGUAUUGUAACGCUUG
rnacentral:lncRNA from 1 species